rnacentral:lncRNA from 1 species
UGUCUGUCUGUCUGUCUCUCUCUCUCUCUCUCUCUCUCUCUCUCUCUCUCUCUGUGUGUGUGUGUGUGUGUGUGUGUGUGUGUGUGUGUUUUAAGGGCGAGGAAAUGGGACAGGUCCUGGAAAGUCACGCUUCACGUGCACAUGUGAAGCAACUCUAGUUGUCCCUUCCUGUCUCCACUCUCAGCGCCACCUCACUCACCUCUAAGCCUAAUCCAGACAAGCUUUAGCGAAUCAAACCGAAAUAUUUACUUCCAUUAUCUGGCUUGUCAGAAGACACUAUUGACAGAUGUGAGCAAGGUCCACUCAGAAGGUAAGAUGUUCUGCUUAGGAUCACUGCCGCAGUCAUGAGGGGUAAAUAAGACCUAAGAAGGGUUUUUUUAUUCACCUUAUAACACACACGUGCACACACGCACAGAGAGAGAGAGAGAGAGAGAGAGAGAGAGACAGAGACAGACAGAGACAGAGACACAGAGACACAGAGAGAGACAGACAGACAGACACACACAGACAGAGACAGAGAGACAGAGGGAGACACAGACA